GAUGAACGCUGGCGGCGCGCUUAACACAUGCAAGUCGAACGGUUAAAGCACCUCCGGGUGUGCAUAAAGUGGCGAACGGCUGAGUAACACGUGGGCAACCUGCCCCCCGCACCGGGAUAGCCUCGGGAAACCGUGGGUAAUACCGGAUACUCCGCCACCCCCGCAUGGGGGAGGCGGGAAAGCGUAUACGGCGGGGGAUGGGCCCGCGGCCUGUUAGCUCGUUGGCGGGGUAACGGCCCACCAAGGCGAUUAUGGGUAGCCGGGUUGAGAGACCGACCGGCCAGAUUGGGACUGAGACACGGCCCAGACUCC
rnacentral:rRNA from 1 species